CCCCUGCAUUACUGCUUCAAUGCCACGUAUCUGCAUCUGCACCUGCACCAAAGUUUCGAAAUGCUAAGCUCUAAUGUGAAUGAUGACACUUUUUUUGUACCCAAAGUGGGCAUGAAGCUGUGUGUUCUGCUUGGUGAUCGUUUCACAGUUACGACUCGAUGGUGCGGGUUCUUAUGCAGAACCGUGGCAUUGGAGCAAUCCCUUUUAA
rnacentral:pre_miRNA from 1 species